GAUGAAAACGUAGCGAAAUGCGAUAAGUAAUGUGAAUUGCAGAAUUCAGUGAAUCAUCGAAUCUUUGAACGCACCUUGCGCUCCUUGGUAUUCCGAGGAGCAUGCCUAUUUGAGUGUCAUUAAAUUCUCAACCUUAUUGGCUUUUGCUGAUAAUGGCUUGGACUUGGGGGUCUUUUUGCUGGCUUUCAUUAGUCUGCUCCCCUUAAAUGUAUUAGCCGGUGCCCCGCAGUGGAACCGUCUAUUGGUGUGAUAAUUAUCUACGCCGUGGACGUCUGCUAUAAUGGGUUUGCGCUGCUUCUAACCGUCUCUCGGGACAACACAAAUGACAAUUUGACCUCAAAUCAGGUAGGACUACCCGCUGAACUUAAGCAUAUCAAUAAGCGGAGGA
rnacentral:misc_RNA from 1 species